UACGAAGGGGGCUAGCGUUGUUCGGAAUUACUGGGCGUAAAGCGCACGUAGGCGGGUUUGUAAGUAGGGGUGAAAUCCCAGGGCUCAACCCUGGAACUGCCUUCUAAACUGCAAGCCUGGAGGUCAGGAGAGGCGAGUGGAAUACCGAGUGUAGAGGUGAAAUUCGUAGAUAUUCGGUGGAACACCAGUGGCGAAGGCGACUCGCUGGACUGAUACUGACGCUGAGGUGCGAAAGCGUGGGAGCAAACAGG
rnacentral:rRNA from 1 species